GUGGUGUUUUUUGGCUCUGCACCUAUCUGCCUCAAAAAGUACCCAAAUGGAUGUGAAGUAAAUCACUGGGCUCCUGUCAACAUCUAAACCAAGGCAUUCCUGCUGCAGAACUUCCAGAGCAGUGCAUUUAAAGGAGAGACAUUGCCAUUUUCAAC
rnacentral:lncRNA from 1 species